AAUAUUGGACAAUGGGCGAAAGCCUGAUCCAGCCAUGCCGCGUGUGUGAAGAAGGUCUUCGGAUUGUAAAGCACUUUAAGUUGGGAGGAAGGGCAGUAAGCUAAUACCUUGCUGUUUUGACGUUACCGACAGAAUAAGCACCGGCUAACUUCGUGCCAGCAGCCGCGGUAAUAAGAAGGGUGCAAGAGUUAAUCGGUAUGACUGGGGGGAAAGCGCGCGUAGGUGGGUCGUUAAGUUGGAAGUGAGAGCCCCGGGCUUAACCUGGGAAUUGCUUUCAAAACUGACGAGCUAGAGUGCGGUAGAGGGUAGUGGAAUUUCCUGUGUAGCGGUGAAAUGCGUAGAUAUAGGAAGGAACAUCAGUGGCGAAGGCGACUACCUGGACUGAUACUGACACUGAGGUGCGAAAGCGUGGGGAGCGAACAGG
rnacentral:rRNA from 1 species